rnacentral:rRNA from 1 species
UACAGAGGUCUCAAGCGUUGUUCGGAUUCAUUGGGCGUAAAGGGUGCGUAGGUGGUGACGCAAGUCUGGUGUGAAAUCUCGGGGCUUAACUCCGAAACUGCAUUCGAUACUGCCGUGCUUGAGGACUGGAGAGGAGACUGGAAUUUACGGUGUAGCAGUGAAAUGCGUAGAUAUCGUAAGGAAGACCAGUGGCGAAGGCGGGUCUCUGGACAGUUCCUGACGCUGAGACACGAAGGCCAGGGGAGCAAACGGG